rnacentral:rRNA from 1 species
CCUACGGGCGGCUGCAGUGGGGAAUAUUGGACAAUGGGCGAAAGCCUGAUCCAGCCAUGCCGCGUGUGUGAAGAAGGCCUUCGGGUUGUAAAGCACUUUCAGUGGGGAAGAAAGCCUUGGGGCUAAUACCCUCGAGGAAGGACAUCACCCACAGAAGAAGCACCGGCUAACUCCGUGCCAGCAGCCGCGGUAAUACGGAGGGUGCGAGCGUUAAUCGGAAUUACUGGGCGUAAAGCGCGCGUAGGCGGUCUGAUAAGCCGGUUGUGAAAGCCCCGGGCUCAACCUGGGAACGGCAUCCUGAACUGUCAGGCUAGAGUGCAGGAGAGGAAGGUAGAAUUCCCGGUGUAGCGGUGAAAUGCGUAGAGAUCGGGAGGAAUACCAGUGGCGAAGGCGGCCUUCUGGACUGACACUGACGCUGAGGUGCGAAAGCGUGGGUAGCAAACAGGAUUAGAUACCCCAGUAGUC